GAGACGAGAGAAAUUAAUGAGAAGAAAAGACGUGAUUUUCGCGUUUCAUUGAGGAUUUAAAACGAGAAUCUUGCCUGCAAUCAGAAGUACUGCCCGCAUUUUUACCCCGAGGAGGUGACUCGUUAUUACUUCGGACUGUUUCAGCCACACCCACACAGUGAUUAAGACCUUCAGUGAAGCUCCUCCUACAACAAUCCACCAAUAAAUGCUGGAGUCAAACACACAGAGAAAUCACUCCAUGUGUGACAACUGAAAUCUUCAUGACAUAAUGUUGAUGCUGGUGAAAGAGGAGCUUGAGAAGAUGACAGAUCCACAACCAUGCAGAAUAAAGGAUGAAGAUACUGAGGAACAAAUAGGUUGCUGUGAAGCAUUGAUGUUGAGACGGAGUGAAAGCGUCUCUCUUGGAUAUUCUGAGGAGUGCUGAAAUGAAGAAGGAAGAGGAUUAGGAACAUCUGAAUAGUGAGUAAAUUGGAGUACAUGUCUUGUCACUUACCUGUGUAAACAAACGAGUAACAUUGUCUUGGAGUGUGUACAGUUGUUUAGCGGCCCCAUCGUGGAAAAACGGGUGGGCGAAGUAAAGCGAGGCAGCAGGGCGUUGUGGACGUUCACUCGCUCCCGGUGGAUCAUUGUCUGUGCAAGCAACCGAAUCCCCCCUGGGGCCUACCGCCGUUCGGGUGUGUAGUGUGGACCUUAUUAAAGUCACCAAAGUGUGUGAAGUGCAGUGGGGUGAGUUUACCUUUGACGUGUUUACACCCAAAGCUUUGCAGUGUUUUGCCGUGUCCUUUGUUGUCUGCACUCGCCCCUUCAGGCGGAGAGGAGCCCGGCAGGAGAAGACGUGGACUGCCGCAGGCGACGGCCAUUUAAUACCUAUCUGCCCGUCCGUAGCGCCGACCCCCAGCUGGAACCUAACGAAAGAACAGUGAAGACACCAGUAAAGGUACUGUGGGAAAGCUGUAUUGUUGGCAAGAGAAAUCAGUGGAACUGACUGUGGUGUGUAGUGCUGUAUUGUGAGGUGAGCCUAGCGGCCUCUGCUAUCACCCAGAUUUCUGCUUACUCCCAGAAAGGACGGAGGCGUCUGUGCCAUUUCGCCGCAUGUACCUGUGGUGUGUAGCCGCCUGGAUCCACCAACCUAGACCUCGCCGGCCAUCAGUGGCCCCACACAGCAGUUGGAAGUGGUAAAACCUCCUCCUUGCCCCAGAACAACGACGAGAGGUGACGUAUGGUUUCCAUACCUACCCGUUAGGAUCCACCUGUGAGCGUAGUGCUAUUUACCCCGCUUAAGUCCUGUAUGUCCCCGAAAGUGGAGAGAUAGAGAGCAAACCUAGAACACUUACCUGAGAGAACGAGCCCAGUAUUACUUACCCCGCUGAAGUCCGGUACGACUUUAAAGGUGGAGAAAUAGAGAACAAACCUAGAACGGUUACCUGAGAGAACAGCCCAGUACUAUUUACCCCUGCUUAAGCCCUGUACGCCCCGAACAUGGAAGGAAGAGAGGUAUCCUAGAGAACUUACCUGAGAGGUGAACACUGCUUACUUUGUGUAUUCCUUGUGUGUACAGCCACCAGCUACGGUAGCCGACGGCCCACCGGCCUGCUGUGUAUGACUGCCCGGCCCGAGUAGGACGGAAGAUCCUUCAGCGGCAAGUAGUCAAUGUCUACCCUCUUUAAAAUACUCAUUGUGUGUUUCACUCUGCCUUCAGGAGAAGGGCGCCACGGGGAACAAAAAUAAAGUAAAGACAUCAACAAGUGGGUGAAACCAAGGGACGAAGGAGCUCCGGCCCGCCCCUCGCCCUAUGUGGGUACUUACCCUCGACGUCUUGUUCUCUCGAGCCCAGGCCUCCUCCUGUGGACGAAAAGAAGAUUAUUUUAGCUUCCCUU